GGUGUGUGUGCCAUGUGCGGGAAGCAAGUGUUGGACACGAAGAUGUAUAAGCAAAGCAAUGUUUAACCAAAUCCACUAAGCUUCUUCACCCUUUGAUGUCUAUUUGCAUAACCAGGGGACUAUCUUUGUUAUAUCCUGAGCUCUUUGAACAAUCUCAGUCAUGUGUUAAUUCUCUGUACCUCUCUCUUUUGUUUCUAUUAAUAACAAACAAAAGCUUCCCUCUUUUAAGGUGUGAUCAUGAUAGUUCUA
rnacentral:lncRNA from 1 species